GGAAGUGGACAGGUCCUGGUGGGCCUCCUGGACUUCAAAUCCAGUGGUCCUGCGGAGAGUGGGACGGUGGGUUCGAUUCCCAUGCACUUCCGCCA
rnacentral:tRNA from 1 species